GAAAGUCUGAGAAGUCUGAAUGCUCUCGUGGUCCUGUCAUCCCCAGAGGAUGUUUUGAUCCAGGGGUUUAGGAAUUAUGGGAAGGGAGCGGCAACUGCAGUGUAGCAUAAGGCCCAUACUCCCAAGAUCAGGUACCCCUGCCUGAGGCUCAUAGGUGCCUCUGUGCAUUCAAGGGCUCAAAAGCUGCUGCGGCCCAACAGCUUGAGACUGGCAAGUGACUCAGAUGCAGAGUCAGACUCUCGGGCAAGCUCUCCCAACUCCACCGUCUCCAACACCAGCACCGAGGGCUUCGGGGGCAUCAUGUCUUUUGCCAGCAGCCUCUAUCGGAACCACAGUACCAGCUUCAGUCUUUCAAACCUCACACUACCCACCAAAGGUGCCCGAGAGAAGGCCACGCCCUUCCCCAGUCUGAAAGGAAACAGAAGGGCGUUAGUGGAUCAGAAGUCAUCUGUCAUUAAACACAGCCCAACAGUGAAAAGAGAACCUCCAUCACCCCAGGGCCGAUCCAGCAAUUCUAGUGAGAACCAGCAGUUCCUGAAGGAGGUGGUGCACAGCGUGCUGGAUGGCCAGGGA
rnacentral:sRNA from 1 species